rnacentral:lncRNA from 1 species
UGGCAGAGCAGGAGCCCUCGGUGGCAGUGCUUGGGUGUCGAGGCUCUGAGGCUCCGGCCUCACCUCUCCACGGGGUCGAAGGGAACGUCUCCGGAUGCCAGGAGUCGCAAAGGGCCGACCAUGAUGAUGAAACCCCAGGCAGAGACGGGGGAAGCAGCACGGGAUCCCAGCCUCAGGCCUGCACGGACGGUGUUGGUUGGGAGACGAGGUCUCACUAUAUUGACCAGGCUGGUCUUGAACUCCUGGCCUUAAGCGAUCCUCCUGCCUUGGCCUCCCAAAGUGCUGGAGUUACAGAUGUGAGCCUCUGUGCUCAGUCCAUCCUUGGCUGUUCAAGUGUAGAGGGCUAACACCAUACUCAAUGAUGAAAACCUGAAAACUUUCCCUAAGAUCAAGAACAAGGCGGGGCGGUUCCAAGAUGGCCGAAUAGGAACAGCUCCAGUCUAAGCUCCCAGCAUAAGUGAUGGAGAAGAUGGGUGAUUUCUGCAUUUCCAACUGAGAUGAAUUGGUGAAUAGCUUUGUGACAGACCUUUGUUCAAGAUCCAUUCAAGGAUAGAAGACAAUUGCAUUGAAUGGUUGAAUAGGGAGAUUUCUCAGGAGAAUGUUGCUGGGUGCGGUUGAAUAUUUACUCUCCCACAUCCUUGCCUGGCAGGAGGGCCUGUAAGGAGGCUAUUCUAUGAGCUUGUAUCAUCUCCCUGGAUUCUAGGAGCAAAUUAAGAAGCAAAUGUUGGACCUCUGCCUGUGAAAACCACAGGUCCAAGACACUGAGAGGAACCAGGAACCACGCCGUACCCUCAAGAACUGCACCUUCCAACCACCCUUAUAUGAGCCUGCUCCAAAACCUUGCCAGCCAGCACUUCCAGGUUACGACUAUUGACCUCCAGCUCCCAGUUUCAGGUGAGAGAGAGUUCUCCCAGUCUCCUGGAUCACACUGGUCGGAAAGCUGUUUGGUAGACAACCUUCGAGUCUUUCUGCCUUCAUACUGAUAUAUUGUCCAUGAGAUCUUGUCCUGUGAAGUCUUUCCUGGCACAUAGUUACGCAUGCUGUUGCUGACUGUUGACACAUACCAUCGGCUAAGAGCAGUGGCUGGCUUUGAAACAGCUCCACCUUCCCUGAAUACUCUUUCAGCGUCUCUGACGUCUAGGCCAAGUUUGUGUACUUAGCUCCAUGACAGCAUCAAGAUACAAACAACAAGAACUGAUGGAUUUCAGUACAUCUUCUGGGGCUCCUGCCUGUGGGAUACAGCUUGUCUUUGAUGUCUUACCCUCUACAUCCAUGUCUCCUUCCUGUCUGUGCUGUGGACUUCAAACUCCAGCAUCAGACAUGAAGACAACAUCCUGCAGAGAUUGCUUUAAGCAGCUCCCACAGUUAUAACAACAUCAUGGCCCUAUAGCAAAUAUCAUAAAAAUUUUUCCACACCUAUAUUCACAAACAUAAAAUCUUUUAUUGGUUCUGUUUCUCAGUUGAAUCAUGACUGAUACAAUAUGAGAAGCAGUAUAUUAUUAUUUAUAGGUAAGGUGUCAUUAAUUACAGAUGCAUGGGUCAGGCAUAGUGGCUCAUCCCUGUAAUCCAAGCACUUUGAGAUACCAAGGUAGGAGGAUCCCUUGAGGCCAGGAAUUUGAGACCAGCCUGGGUAACAAAGUGAGACUCUGUCUCUACGAAAAACAAUUUUUUAAGGUGCAUAUUAUAAACCUAGGGAACCACUAAAAUAUUUUUAAAAGAAGCAUAAAUGAUAAAAAAACAAAAAAUGGAGAUUAAAUGGAAUCAUUAAAAAUAAUUCAAAAUCAGUUAGAAAAAGAACAAAGAACAAAUAUAACAAAUAAAAACAAGAUAUGAGAUAGUACAUUAAAAUCCAACUGUAUCAGUAGCUGUAUUUAAUUUAAAUGACCUAAACAUACCAACUAAAACACAGAGAUGAUCAAAUUAGAUAAAAAAGCAAGAAUCAACUAUAAUCUAUCUAUAAUAAAUUCACAUUAAAUAUAAAAGUAUACAGGUUAAAAGUAAAAGGAUGAAAAAUAUACCAUAUAUGCCAUGCAAACAGUUGCUCUAUUAGUAUUAGAUAACAGGAAAUUCCAGAACAAAGAAUAUCUUCAGAAAUAAAAAGCCA